rnacentral:rRNA from 1 species
CCUACGGGAGGCAGCAGUGAGGAAUAUUGGUCAAUGGACGGGAGUCUGAACCAGCCAAGUAGCGUGAAGGAUGACGGCCCUAUGGGUUGUAAACUUCUUUUAUCUGGGAAUAAAACAGGGUAUGCAUACCCUCUGGUAUGUACCAUGUAAAUUAGGAUCGGCUAAAUCCGUGCCAACAACCGCGGUAAUACGGAGGAUCCGAGCGGUAUCCGGGUUUUGUGGGUUUAAAGGGGGCGUAGGUGGAUUUUUAAGUUAGUUGUUAAAGUGUGCGGCUCAAACGUGAAAUUGCAGUUGAAACUGGCAGUCUUGAGUACAGGAGAGGUGGGCGGAAUUCGUGGUGUAGCGGUGAAAUGCUUAGAUAUCACGCAGAACUCCGAUUGCGAAGGCAGCUUACUGGACUGCAACUGACACUGAUGCUCGAAAGUGUGGGUAUCAAACAGGAUUAGAUACCCGGGUAGUC